UCCAGCCUGAGUGACAGAGUGAGACUCAACUAUAAACAAACAAACAAACAAACAAAUAAAUAAAGGGCCUCCUUGGAGGCCCAACACAUCAGGGACAUCUCAUCCACCGCUUACUCCUCCCAAGCCCAGCAGAGCAGGGAGGGUGGCGGAGCAUUUGCCCAGUGUGCACGGCUAAUGCCAUCCCGUCCACGUGAUCAAGUGGUACCUGGAAGAACCUGACAAGGCAGCUCCAGACUAAGGACAAGUCAACCCCUUUUCUAGCCUGUUUCCUCAUGGUGAACUGACAGGGUGGGACUAGAACUCACAAGUGGCCAGGCCAGCAUUGGAAGCCAGCUCUGCCUGCCCGCACAGGCCUGGACGCCCAGCCACAACCUGGUGUCCCCUCUGCCCAGCUCUCGCCUUGGCUCUCAGCUCCAAGAGGAUCACCUGGAAUCCAUCAUUGUCCACUGGAACUUUCUAUGAUGAUGGAAAUGCAUGCAGUUCUGCACUGUCGAAUACAGUGGUAGUCAGUAGCCAUAAGUGGCUACUGAGCACUCAAAAUGUGCCUAGCGCAACUAAGAAACUGAAUUUAUUUUAUUUUAUUUUAUUUUAAAAAUAAAGGCUAGUCUCAAACUCCCAA